rnacentral:snoRNA from 1 species
UGGCCCUUGCCUGUACUUCGCCUGCUGCUGUGCACAGCUCCUAUAGGCAGAACACAGGACAAUCUCCCUCUCUGUUUUCAGAGGCACCAUCCUGAGAAUAGGAAUGGUUCUAAAAGGCAUGAGAGGACAAU